CAGCCGCCACGGUAAUACGAAGGGGGCUAGCGUUGUUCGGAAUUACUGGGCGUAAAGGGCGCGUAGGCGGCCAUUCAAGUUAGAUGUGAAAGCCCUGGGCUCAACCUAGUAAUUGCAUUUGAUACUGUUUGGCUUGAGUUCGGGAGAGGUGAGUGGAAUUCCAGUGUAGAGGUGAAAUUCGUAGAUAUUGGGAAGAACACCAGUGGCGAAGGCGGCUCACUGGACCGACACUGACGCUGAGGCGCGAAAGCGUGGGGAGCAAACAGGAUUAGAUACCCGCGUAGUCCCUGUCUCUUAUACC
rnacentral:rRNA from 1 species